CAGUCGCCGCGGUAAUACAGAGGGUGCAAGCGUUAAUCGGAAUUACUGGGCGUAAAGCGCGCGUAGGUGGUUUGUUAAGUUGGAUGUGAAAGCCCCGGGCUCAACCUGGGAACUGCAUCCAAAACUGGCAAGCUAGAGUACGGUAGAGGGUGGUGGAAUUUCCUGUGUAGCGGUGAAAUGCGUAGAUAUAGGAAGGAACACCAGUGGCGAAGGCGACCACCUGGACUGAUACUGACACUGAGGUGCGAAAGCGUGGGGAGCAAACAGGAUUAGAUACCCGGGUAGUCCCUGUCUCUUAUAC
rnacentral:rRNA from 1 species